UCUGAAGUGAUGUAGCCUUAGG
rnacentral:piRNA from 1 species